UAGUGGCAGACGGGUGAGUAAUGCGUAGGAAUCUACCUAGUAGUACGGAAUAGCCAUUAGAAAUGGUGGGUAAUACUGUAUAAUCCCCGAGGGGGAAAGAUUUAUCGCUAUUAGAUGAGCCUACGUUAGAUUAGCUAGUUGGUGAGGUAAUGGCUUACCAAGGCUAUGAUCUAUAGCUGGUCUGAGAGGACGAUCAGCCACACUGGAACUGAGAUACGGUCCAGACUCCUACGGGAGGCAGCAGUGGGGAAUAUUGGACAAUGGGCGGAAGCCUGAUCCAGCUAUGCCGCGUGAGUGAAGAAGGCCUUCGGGUUGUAA
rnacentral:rRNA from 1 species